GACGAACGCUGGCGGCGUGCUUAACACAUGCAAGUCGAGCGGAAAGGCCCUUCGGGGUACUCGAGCGGCGAACGGGUGAGUAACACGUGAGUAAUCUGCCCUUGGCUUUGGGAUAACUACCGGAAACGAUGGCUAAUACCGGAUACGACAACCGUCUGCAUGGGCUGGUUGUGGAAAGUUUUUUCGGCCAGGGAUGUGCUCGCGGCCUAUCAGCUUGUUGGUGGGGUAAUGGCCUACCAAGGCUUCGACGGGUAGCCGGCCUGAGAGGGUGACCGGCCACACUGGGACUGAGACACGGCCCAGACUCCUACGGGAGGCAGCAGUGGGGAAUAUUGGACAAUGGGCGGAAGCCUGAUCCAGCAACGCCGCGUGAGGGAUGACGGCCUUCGGGUUGUAAACCUCUUUCAGUACCGACGAAGCGCCGAUGAUGGUGGUGACGGUAGGUACAGAAGAAGCACCGGCCAACUACGUG
rnacentral:rRNA from 1 species